AGACCAAGAGUUUUUGGCACAGGUUUCCAUGGUGUCACGGCUGAAGCAUGAGAAUGUCAUGGAAUUGGUUGGUUACAGUGUUGAAGGAAAUCUCCGUCUGUUAGCAUAUGAGUUUGCUACAAUGGGGUCUCUCCAUGACAUUCUUCAUGGACGAAAAGGAGUUAAAGGAGCACAACCAGGACCAGUGUUGUCAUGGCUCCAAAGAGUUAAAAUUGUUGUCGGAGCAGCAAAAGGAUUGGAAUACCUGCAUGAGAAAGCCCAGCCUCAUAUCAUUCACUGUGAUA